rnacentral:rRNA from 1 species
CGAAGGAUGCAAGCGUUAUCCGGAUUCAUUGGGUUUAAAGGGAGCGUAGGUGGCCUUAUAAGUCAGUGGUGAAAUCUCGCAGCUUAACUGCGAAAUUGCCAUUGAUACUGUAGGGCUUGAGUAUAGUUGCCGUUGGCGGAAUAUGACAUGUAGUGGUGAAACACAUAGAGAUGUCAUAGAACACCGAUUGCGAAGGCAGCUAACGAAACUAUAACUGACACUGAGGCUCGAAAGUGCGGGGAUCAAACAGGAUUAGAUACCCUGGUAGUCCGCACUGUAAACGAUGAUUACUCGCUGCUAGAGGGCAACUUUUAGUGGCUUAGCGAAAGCGAUAAGUAAUCCACCUGGGGAGUACGCCGGCAACGGUG